rnacentral:rRNA from 1 species
UACGUAGGGCGCAAGCGUUGUCCGGAAUUAUUGGGCGUAAAGAGCUCGUAGGCGGUUUGGCGCGUCUGCUGUGAAAACUCGAGGCUCAACCUCGGGCUUGCAGUGGGUACGGGCAGACUAGAGUGCGGUAGGGGUGACUGGAAUUCCUGGUGUAGCGGUGGAAUGCGCAGAUAUCAGGAGGAACACCGAUGGCGAAGGCAGGUCACUGGGCCGCAACUGACGCUGAGGAGCGAAAGCAUGGGGAGCGAACAGG